rnacentral:lncRNA from 1 species
UAAAAAAGGAAAAGAAGAAUGAGAGAGGCACGUGAGAGGUUCUCAAGAUCUCAACCUCCUUCUGCAGCUUCUUAACAGCAGACCCAAACUACUCCAAGUUCUUCAAUCAUCACUCCAAGAAGAAAUCCAAUAAGUAAAAGAUGAAGAAGAAUUCAUCAUCAUAAAUCCACCAAAUAUUCCAUCACAAACAUCAGUCCUUGGAUUCAAUUUUUUCUUAGAUAACACAAACAUUUACACACACUCUUUCAAUUCUUCAACUUUCUUUCAUUCUCUUCUAAUUUUCAGCAAUCCUUUACUAUCUCAUAAUAACAUCUCUGUUUCAAUUUCAAUUUUAUUUAAUUUUUAAUUUAAUUUUUUAGGGUUUUGAGAUGAAGAUAUAUUAUGUUGAAGGGAUGAAUAUGAUAGUGAAGGGGGAUGAAGAACAUAAUGAAUUUCCUUAAUUUCUUAUCAUAAUCUUCGUUUUCUCAGAAACACAACUGUGAUUGAAGAUACGUGAAACAAUUUUGCAGAAGGAAGUGAAUAUGAAGUGUAGGAGAUGAAGAAAAUCGAUUUUGCAGAAACAAAGAUAUGUGAAACAAAAAUCAGAAAGAAUCAAAUCAAAACGAGAAAUCGAAAUAGACAAACAAUGACAGUAGAAACGCCAAAUCGAAUUGAUGAUACAAGUCGGAAUAGCUAUUGAAAAUCGAACAGAAACAAUUUGGGUUUUUGGGUUAAAUCCUUAAUUUGGAUUUUUGAGAUGAUUUUCUGAAUUUUUUUAUGAAGAUUGUUGUUGUUGUUGAAAAGAUUCAUGUUAUAUUUUCUGGGUUUUGGUUGAGAAGAAAAUGAAGCUGUUAAGAAAAUGAAGGAGAUUAAGAUUCACGUGAUCAAGGAUGGCUGCCUGUAUUGAUUUUGAGCUUGAAGGAAAGCGAUAAGCAGACAAGAAGACCUGCAGUUGUUUUCCUUCACAGUACAAAUUCGCAUAAAGAAUCUCUGCGUCCAUUGCUUGAGGCAUAUGCUUCGCGGGGAUAUAUAGCAAUUUCAGUUGAUUCUCGUUACCAUGGUGAACGUGCGAAGGACAUAAACACCUAUUGUGAUGCUAUUAUUUCUGCGGAAAACUGGAGACACAAUGCCAUUCAUAUAUGACACGGUAUGGGACUUGAUUAAAUUGGCAGAUUAUCUAACACAGAGAGAAGAUGCAGACCCCUCUACUCUAGGAUAGGAAUUACUGGAAUAUCCCUUGGAGGAAUGCAUGCAUGGUUUGCUGCAACUGCUGAUACUCGCUAUGCUGUGAUUGCGAUGGGCCAUAGACAAUGAUAAGUGGCAGGCUCGAGUUGACAGUAUAAAGCCUGUUUUUGAAGUGGCUCGUGAUGAUUUGGGCAAAGAUGCUAUUGACAAAGAAGUGGUGGAGAAGGUGUGGGACAGGAUUGCGACAAGAAGUUGUUCAAUUUAAUCAUCUUUAAUUGAUGGUUAGAAAAGAAUGUUCCACAAGAAACCACGGGCUUUUCGAUCAAAAUAGGCAGCUAGAUCAUGAAGCAAAAGCAGCAAAAGAGGCCCUGGGAGGUGGCACGGCCGUGCCAAGCUUCUGACUUGGUGCGGAAGAUCCUAGGUGUCCCCUAGCCGGCUUGGAAAUUCCGAGGGCAAAAGCAAGCAAGGCAUACGAAGCUUUUCACCGCACAGAUGAUUUCCAGUUUAUUGCAGAACCUGGAAUUGAGCACCAAAUAACAAAAUUCAUGGUGAAAGAGUCAUCUGAUUGGUUUGACAAGUUUCUAAAGCCUCAGCUUAUGCCUGGAUUGUAAAAUUAACAACCAACUCGCUCUGGCUCAUUCCGGUUGCCUUUGUAUGAUUGUAUGUAUGCCGUGUUGUGAUUUUCUAUUUAAUGUAUCCUCUAGUCCAUGCUAUUAUCACAAUAAAAUGUAGAACCAUAGUUCUAUGUGUGUCUGACAGUCUGACUUAUGCCGGGGGACAUAAUUCUUUUCUACUUAGGAUGCACACGCCUUUAGAGUGUGAUUGGUUAAGGGAAAUACCGGUGAAGUGUAGCAAGAGAAACGAGCAUUUUCUCUUGAUUGGCAAGGUAAACCAAUGGGGUGGGGGAGCGGGGGAGAGUGUGUGACCUGCAAUUUUUCUUCUUAGUGAUGAGAAGAAAAGUGGCAGGGAGGACUCUAACCUUUUUUUUCGCAUGUCUUUCGCUCUUUGCAUUGGUAACAAUGUCUACUUAAAACAUUCAUAUAUAAUGUUGACUA